rnacentral:rRNA from 1 species
UGGGGAAUAUUGCACAAUGGGCGCAAGCCUGAUGCAGCCAUGCCGCGUGUAUGAAGAAGGCCUUCGGGUUGUAAAGUACUUUCAGCGGGGAGGAAGGGAGUAAAGUUAAUACCUUUGCUCAUUGACGUUACCCGCAGAAGAAGCACCGGCUAACUCCGUGCCAGCAGCCGCGGUAAUACGGAGGGUGCAAGCGUUAAUCGGAAUUACUGGGCGUAAAGCGCACGCAGGCGGUUUGUUAAGUCAGAUGUGAAAUCCCCGGGCUCAACCUGGGAACUGCAUCUGAUACUGGCAAGCUUGAGUCUCGUAGAGGGGGGUAGAAUUCCAGAUGUAGCGGUGAAAUGCGUAGAAAUCUGGAGGAAUCCCGGUGGCAAAGGCGGCCCCCUGAACGAAGACUAACGAUCAGGUGCAAAAACGUGGGGAGCAAACAGG